rnacentral:rRNA from 1 species
UACGAAGGGGCUAGCGUUGCUCGGAAUCACUGGGCGUAAAGGGUGCGUAGGCGGGUCUUUAAGUCAGGGGUUGAAAUCCUGGAGCUCAACUCCAGAACUGCCUUUGAUACUGAAGAUCUUGAGUCCGGGAGAGGUGAGUGGAACUGCGAGUGUAGAGGUGAAAUUCGUAGAUAUUCGCAAGAACACCAGUGGCGAAGGCGGCUCACUGGCCCGGUACUGACGCUGAGGCACGAAAGCGUGGGGAGCAAACAGG